rnacentral:rRNA from 2 species
UACGUAGGGUGCAAGCGUUAAUCGGAAUUACUGGGCGUAAAGCGUGCGCAGGCGGUGCUGUAAGACAGGCGUGAAAUCCCCGGGCUUAACCUGGGAAUGGCGCUUGUGACUGCAGUGCUGGAGUGUGGCAGAGGGGGAUGGAAUUCCGCGUGUAGCAGUGAAAUGCGUAGAUAUGCGGAGGAACACCGAUGGCGAAGGCAAUCCCCUGGGCCUGCACUGACGCUCAUGCACGAAAGCGUGGGGAGCAAACAGG